AUUCCAGCUCCAAUAGCGUAUAUUAAAGUUGUUGCAGUUAGAACGCUCGUAGUCGGAUUUCGGGGCGGGCCGACCGGUCUGCCGAUGGGUACGCACUGGUCGGCGCGUCCUUCCUUCCGGAGACCGUGCCUACUCUUAACUGAGCGGGGGCGGGAGACGGAUCGUUUACUUUGAAAAAAUCAGAGUGUUUCAAGCAGGCAGCUCGCUCUUGCAUGGAUUAGCAUGGGAUAAUGAAAUAGGACUUUGGUGCUAUUUUGUUGGUUUCGAACACCGAAGUAAUGAUUAACAGGGACAGUCAGGGGCACUCGUAUUCCGCCGAGAGAGGUGAAAUUCUCAGACCAGCGGAAGACGAACCACUGCGAAAGCAUUUGCCAGGGAUGUUUUCAUCG
rnacentral:rRNA from 1 species